GCAGUGCGUCACAGUCGGGUCGGGAGCCCUGUGGCCUGGAGGAAGCGGGAGGAGGCGCGGGCAGCCGCCAGGGCGAGGCGACCCGGUGCGGGGGGACUCCCAUGGAGCGCGGACUCCUAAGGAAGUCGCUGGGAAUCCCACCGGCUGUACCGCAGGGCGUUAGUACCUAGAUGGCUUCGGUGCCCCCAAGCGAUGGGCUCAAGCUACAGGGCGGGCUUUGCACCUGGCCUUCUCAGCUCUGAGGCAGGCAGUGGGCAGCUUCGCCUCCACCCUCCGUCCAGCGCCCUUCCCAUGGGGCCAUCCGCCUCUCCCUAAGGCACUAAAAACCAGUGGAGGAGUCAGGCCAUGUUGGCAAAAAGGGCUCGGGCAGCAGCCCCAGACCUAUAGUCCUAAAUAUCCAUGUACCCAGCCCUGGGGUCGCGAGCCAUCUCAGGGACGACCCGAUUCCAGCGGAUGGAGAAGUUCCCUGAAAACACCUGCCUGGGAGGAGAGACGAGGGAACGAGAUUGGGCAAGUGGCAUCCGCCCAGCGGGCUUCUCAAAGGUUUUUAAAGCAGAAUGGGACGUAAUAGGAAGAUGUGUCUAGCAGAGAGUAAAAUAAAGGGGCAUUUAGAGGUGUGGGCACCUGGAUGAAAACAAAGGCUCCAAAGGGAUGAUGGUGAGGGUUACAGCCCACCACAGUAGACAGAGACACCAAGGAAGGAAUGCAGUCAGUGGCCCUGCGUAGACAGUCUCAGGAGAGAGCACACCAGCUCACCCCAGGACUCAUCCAAGGCUGGGGAUGGAUGUCGAUGCAGCAACUCUGGAAGGCAGAAGACAGUGCUUUACCAUGGAACUGAAACCAUGAAAAGUGAAACUGCAAAUGGGAGAGACUGCUGUAUAGUCACUGAAAAAUUAAUGGAUGAGCUCAACAGCAAAUUAGACACAACUGAAACCUUGGACCCAUGUGUGGAAGAUGACAGCAUCACCAACUGGAGGGUGCCUGGAUCCCUGAGUCACCACUUGAAGCAAAAAGGUCAAGAGUAGCCACCUGACCCAUAUCAGGCUAUGAAAUGAAGAGAAAAUGACACGAGGCUUUGGAACCAAGAGCUGGAGGAACCUGGAAGCGAAAGCUGAGGCUGUCGGCUGCCCAGCAGUUAACACCCUGAGACCAUCUUCCCACUUCCAACACCCACAGAAGCUGCCACCCAAGGGCCCCUGUGUCCCCGCAUGGCCCACCUCAGCAGUAUGAUGCAGCACUGGGGAAGUGACAGAAUGUGAAAAAAACUAUUAUAGCUGAGAUAUUUUAAAAUUCCGCCCUCCAGGCAGCAUCUGGUUGCUACAGCAACCCCAGCUCUGCAGGGUGUCCCGAUUACCAGCAGGCUCCCUGCACCUGCCUCAGGCUGAGAGCAGGCGGCUGCCGCCAAGGGGAACACCAAGGAAAUGCCCAUGUUCUGAUUCCAAGGUAAUGGCUCAGACCCAAGGGGAUUUUAUCUGUUCAAUGUGCAACCUGAUGAAGUUUUGUCCCAUGUUAAUAAUUUCAUUAAAAAUAUGGCCUUACAUCCUA
ensembl:lncRNA LINC01664 long intergenic non-protein coding RNA 1664